AUUGAACGCUGGCGGCAUGCCUUACACAUGCAAGUCGAACGGCAGCGCGGGAGCAAUCCUGGCGGCGAGUGGCGAACGGGUGAGUAAUAUAUCGGAACGUGCCCAGUAGUGGGGGAUAGCCCGGCGAAAGCCGGAUUAAUACCGCAUACGACCUACGGGUGAAAGGGGGGGAUCGCAAGACCUCUCGCUAUUGGAGCGGCCGAUAUCAGAUUAGGUAGUUGGUGGGGUAAAGGCCUACCAAGCCUGCGAUCUGUAGUUGGUCUGAGAGGACGACCAGCAACACUGGGACUGAGACACGGCCCAGACUCCUACGGGAGGCAGCAGUGGGGAAUUUUGGACAAUGGGCGCAAGCCUGAUCCAGCAAUGCCGCGUGCAGGAAGAAGGCCUUCGGGUUGUAAACUGCUUUUGUCAGGGAAGAAAUCCUCUGGGUUAAUACCUCGGGGGGAUGACGGUACCUGAAGAAUAAGCACCGGCUAACUACGUGCCAGCAGCCGCCGUAAUAC
rnacentral:rRNA from 1 species